UAUGGAGAGUUUGCUCCUGGCUCAGGAUGAACGCUGGCGGCGUGCCUAAUACAUGCAAGUCGAGCGAACUGAAGAGGAGCUUGCUCCUUUGACGUUAGCGGCGGACGGGUGAGUAACACGUGGGUAACCUACCUAUAAGA
rnacentral:rRNA from 1 species